rnacentral:rRNA from 1 species
ACGAACGCUGGCGGCGUGCUUAACACAUGCAAGUCGCACGGAAAGGCCCUGCUUUUGUGGGGUGCUCGAGUGGCGAACGGGUGAGUAACACGUGAGUAACCUGCCCUUGACUUUGGGAUGACUUCAGGAAACUGGGGCUAAUACCGGAUAGGAGCUCCUGCUGCAUGGUGGGGGUUGGAAAGUUUCGGCGGUUGGGGAUGGACUCGCGGCUUAUCAGCUUGUUGGUGGGGUAGUGGCUUACCAAGGCUUUGACGGGUAGCCGGCCUGAGAGGGUGACCGGCCACAUUGGGACUGAGAUACGGCCCAGACUCCUACGGGAGGCAGCAGUGGGGAAUAUUGCACAAUGGGCGGAAGCCUGAUGCAGCAACGCCGCGUGCGGGAUGACGGCCUUCGGGUUGUAAACCGCUUUCGCCUGUGACGAAGCGUGAGUGACGGUAAUGGGUAAAGAAGCACCGGCUAACUACGUG